rnacentral:rRNA from 1 species
UACGUAGGUGGCAAGCGUUGUCCGGAUUUAUUGGGUUUAAAGGGUGCGUAGGCGGCCCUGUAAGUCAGUGGUGAAAUAUCUCAGCUUAACUGAGAGGGUGCCAUUGAUACUGCGGGGCUUGAGUACAGAUGAGGUAGGCGGAAUUGACGGUGUAGCGGUGAAAUGCAUAGAUAUCGUCAAGAACACCGAUAGCGAAGGCAGCUUACCAAGCUGUAACUGACGCUGAGGCACGAAAGUGUGGGGAUCAAACAGGAUUAGAUACCCCAGUAGUCC